GAUGAACGCUGGCGGCGUGUCUAAUACAUGCAAGUCGAGCGAAUGGAUUAAGAGCUUGCUCUUAUGAAGUUAGCGGCGGACGGGUGAGUAACACGUGGGUAACCUGCCCAUAAGACUGGGAUAACUCCGGGAAACCGGGGCUAAUACCGGAUAACAUUUUGAACCGCAUGGUUCGAAAUUGAAAGGCGGCUUCGGCUGUCACUUAUGGAUGGACCCGCGUCGCAUUAGCUAGUUGGUGAGGUAACGGCUCACCAAGGCAACGAUGCGUAGCCGACCUGAGACGCUGAGCGGCCACACUGGGACUGAGACACGGACCAGCCUCCUACGGGUGGCAGCAGUAGGGAAUCUUCCGCAAUGGACGAAAGUCUGACGGAGCAACGCCGCGUGAGUGAUGAAGGCUUUCGGGUCGUAAAACUCUGUUGUUAGGGAAGAACAAGUGCUAGUUGAAUAAGCUGGCACCUUGACGGUACCUAACCAGAAAGCCACGGCUAACUACGUGCCAGCAGCCGCCGUAA
rnacentral:rRNA from 1 species